GUAGUGCAGAAGCUCUGCAGGCAUUAGUUACGCCUGAAACUUUCGAAGGAAUUGCACGAUGAAGCUCAACGGGAGAAGCAACGCAUAAUCGAUCAACGAGUAAGAAUAAGCUAGGAGAAAUCUAGUGCUAGGCUUGUCUGUCAAGUGUCAACCUGAGCUGGCCUCAGGAGCUAGAGCUAUCAAGGAAGGCUCAAUUAAGAAGUAUCUUAAUAUGGUCCAUACCUUGGAACGGAAGACCCAAAAUCCCAAAAAGUCAUAUGGUGUAAAUCCUGGCAAUCUCAGACUAAGCGAUUAAACAGUUUUCAUGGAAAGCAUGUGUUGGUGUCAUUGAAUAAUCAUUGCCAUUCCAUUGUCUUAUUUGAUUUGUGUGAAAACCAAACAGUUUUCGUGCAGUGUCAAAUGGUGUAAGUUUCAUUAUGAAGGUGCUGAAAUCUCAGAUACCCAAAGAAGGCGUGUAUUGAAUAGAUAAAUUUGAUCGUCACAAAUCAAUGAGAAGG
rnacentral:lncRNA from 1 species